UACGUAGGGUGCGAGCGUUAAUCGGAAUUACUGGGCGUAAAGCGUGCGCAGGCGGCUAAGCAAGUCGAGUGUGAAAGCCCCGGGCUUAACUUGGGAAUUGCGCUCGAAACUACUUUGCUGGAGUGUGGCAGAGGAAGGUGGAAUUCCACGUGUAGCGGUGAAAUGCGUAGAGAUGUGGAGGAACACCAAUGGCGAAGGCAGCCUUCUGGGCCAACACUGACGCUCAUGCACGAAAGCGUGGGGAGCAAACAGG
rnacentral:rRNA from 1 species